GGCAAGGUAGCCAAGUGGUCAACGGCGCAGCGUUCAGGUCGCUGUCCUUCGGGUUCGUGGGUUCAAAUCCCACCCUUGUCA